rnacentral:tRNA from 1 species
AAAGGGAGACCUAAUUCCAGUAGGAGACGAAAAAAAAGUAGUCCCUACCAAGAAUCAAUCCCAAAAGGUCGGAGCGAGGCAAAAUUGGCUUUCAAACUAGGUUCUGGGUUCACACAAGACCUGAAUCAGGAACAAGGGCUAUUAGCUCAGGUGGUUAGAGCGCACCCCUGAUAAGGGUGAGGUCCCUGGUUCGAGUCCAGGAUGGCCCACCUGCACAGGUGGAAGAAAGAAAAGAAGCUCCGAAUCAGCACCUUAUCUUACUUAUAUAGUAAGAGAGAAUGCUGGCUCUGAGUACAGAGACCAGAGGAACCUUGAAAACUGCAUAGAGCUAGGUGAAAAAGCCAAAAAAGAAGACCGCAAG